rnacentral:tRNA from 1 species
GCGCUCGUAAUACAAAGGAUAGUGUGCCGCCCUGCGAAGGCGGAUAUCCAGGUUCAAUUCCUGGCGAGCGCA